CUCUUCCAGUGUCCCCUCCCCAUCUCCAAUGUCCCCUCCCCUCUUCCAGUGUCCCCUCCCCUCUUCCAGUGUCCCCUCCCAGUGCCAAUGUCCCUUCCCAGUGCCAAUGUCCCUUCCCAGUGCCAAAGUCCCCUCCCAGUGCCAAUGUCCCCUCUUCCAGUGUCCCCUCCCAAUGCCAGUGUCCCCUCCCAGUGCCCCGUGUCCCCUCCCCACCUCCAGUGUCCCCUCCCAGUGCCCGGGCUCACGGACACCACAGCCGCACUGGUUUUUACUGGUUUUUAUUGGUGUGACGCAGGGGACCCCACGCCUGUGCCCGCCCUCGUGUGUCCCUGCGUGUCCCCCAGGGGUGACCCGGCCUGGCUGUGUCCCCGCAGUGCCACCCUGCUGCCCGUCCUGCCAUCCCUGAUGACGCUGACUCGGGCGGGCGUGAUGGGCCUGGAGGGCGCGGUGGCACUGCCCGGCUUGUCCCCAAGGGUGGCACUGCCAGGCCUGUCCCCAAGGGUGGCACUGCCAGGCCUGUCCCCCGUGGUGGCACCGCCCCGGGAAGGGCAGUCCCUGUCAGGGAUGGUGGCACUGCCACUGCUGGGUGUGUCCGUGAUGGGGGGACUGCCAGUGACGUGUCUGUCCCCAAGGGUGGCACUGCCCCUGGAUGGGCACUCCCGGAUGGGGACGGUGGCAGUGCCACCCACUGACCUGGCCCCAACAGGGAUGGUGGCACUGUCCCUGGACGGACACUCCCUGACAGAGGUGGUGGCACUGUCCCCACCAGACCAGUCCCCACGAGGGACGGUGACACCGUCCCUGGAUGGGCACUCCCUGGCAGAGGUGGUGGCACUGUCCCUGGAUGGGCAUUCCCUGAUGGGGACAGUGGCACUGUCCCUGCCAGACCAAUCCCCACGAGGGAUGGUGGCACUGUCCCUGUCAGAGGUGGUGGCACUGUCCCUGGACGGGCAUUCCCGGAUGGGGACAGUGGCACUGUCCCUGCCUGGCCAGUCCCUGUCACAGAUGGUGGCUCUGUCUCUGCCAGACCAAUCCCCACGAGGGAUGGUGGCACUGCCAGGCCUGUCCCCAGUGGUGCCACUGCUCCUGUCCCCAAUGUCGCUGCCCCUGUGUGGCCUGUCCCUGACAGGGAUGGUGGCACUGCCAGGCCUGUCCCCUGUGGUGUCACCGCUCCUUUCCCCACUGUCACUGGGCCUGGGUGGCCUGUCCCUGCUGGGCACGGUGACACUGCCCAGUCUGUCCCCAAAGUCACCAGGCCUGUGUGNCCUGUCCCUGCUGGAGAUGGUGGCACUGCCCAGCCUGUCCCCAGGGGUGGCACUGCUCCUGCCUGGCCUGUCCCCAGGGGUGGCACUGGCCCUGAUCUGCCUGUCCCCAGGGGUGGCACUGCCUGGCCUGUCCCCAGGGGUGGCACUGGCCCUGGCUGUGCUGUCCUUGAUUGGGACAGUGGCACUGCCACCAGCUGUGCUGUCCCCAGGGGUGGCACUGUCCCUGCCCUGCCUGUCCCCAGGGGUGGCACUGUCCCUGC
rnacentral:lncRNA from 1 species